rnacentral:rRNA from 1 species
UCUAUACUAUAGAGUUUGAUCCUGGCUCAGAGCGAACGCUGGCGGCAGGCCUAACACAUGCAAGUCGAACGAACCUUCGGGUUAGUGGCGGACGGGUGAGUAACACGUGGGAACGUACCUUUUGGUUCGGAAUAACGCAGAGAAAUUUGCGCUAAUACCGAAUGUGCCCUUCGGGGAAAGAGUUUAUCGCCAUUAGAGCGGCCCGCGUUAGAUUAGCUAGUUGGUGAGGUAAAGGCUCACCAAGGCUACGAUCUAUAGCUGGUCUGAGAGGAUGAUCAGCCACAUUGGGACUGAGACACGGCCCAAACUCCUACGGGAGGCAGCAGUGGGGAAUCUUGCGCAAUGGGCGAAAGCCUGACGCAGCCAUGCCGCGUGAAUGAUGAAGGUCUUAGGAUUGUAAAAUUCUUUCAGUAGGGACGAUAAUGACGGUACCUACAGAAGAAGCCCCGGCUAACUUCGUGCCAGCAGCCGCGGUAAU